GGGACUUAGUUGCCAAACCAAACCAUCAAACUAUUAUUGGUACUAAAUGGGUUUUUGGAAACAAAGGAGAUGAAAAUAGAAUAAUUGUGCGUAUCAAGGCUAGAUUAGUCUUCCAAGAUUAUAAUCAAGAAAAAGGUAUCGAAUUUGAAGAAACAAAUGGAGCUUAAUUGCUAGACAAAACCAUUCACAUGUUUCUUGCAUUUGCAUAUAUUUUGUGCUCGUUUUUCCAUAUAUCUUCCAAAACAUUGAAUCCAAUGCACCAAACAUGAUUCCACCUUCAAGACCAAGAUAAAAGUUGUUAUUUGGCUUGUUAACGUCAACAUUUUGUACUCCAUAGCUUGAUCAAGUAAUUAGACGACUUUAUUGGCUCUUCGAGGUCUCGAACUUAGCUCGAUUCUUUGUCUUGGCUCCUUAUCAACAUGCGCAGAAUCCUUUAGCUUCUUAAUAAUUUUUGACCCCCUCUCCGGAUCACAUCACAACAUGAAAAUAAGGACGGAGCAACAUAAUUCAGGAACUCAUUCCCUUUAAUGAAAAUAUGUAAACUAAAAAUAAAAAAAUAAAAUAAAAUGGAGCAUUGUAAUGAUUUUGUUAGCUUAAUAAAAUUAAGUUUACUUUUAUAUUCAUAUAAGGUGCUAUACAAUCUUGGAGUUAUUGCAUAGCUCUCUUUGGCCAUCUUCAUCUUGGUGAUUGCUUUCUUUUCAUUUGGAUAACUUGAUUUUUCAUUCUCAUAAUAAUGAAAACAGAUUAAUUUUUUAAGUUCAUUUGUAACUAUUUUAAGGUUAAUAAAUCAUUCGCGAUUAUAUACAUAUCCUCAUUCUAUUUUUCCACUGGAAGAUAAUAAUUCUUUUCAUUAUACUAAACAUUCAUUAGAAAUAUAAUUAUGAUUAUCCCAAGAAUGUGUUUCCACACACUCUGAAGUUAUGCCGAACUAAUGAUGCGUGCCAAGGGCAUAUAUG
rnacentral:lncRNA from 1 species